UGCAUGGUACCGGAGCACAGGCAACCAGCCACAUGACAGAAUGUGAGUCAAAAGCAUCGGAAGUCAGAGAGAUCUCACUUCUAGCUGAACAGCCCACCUGUCUACUUCCUUGCCUAGACAGUAUGUAGCGGUGACCCUGUGCACAAGAUGGAGUACGUGGCGUACCCAGCAGCCUGCAGCUGAUGCUGUUACCAGGGACCAGCACGAUGCACUUCAUCUGCAUAGUCACUAAUGAGAAGGCUGAGCAAACAUCCUGCAGGCCACGACUCCAGAAGACAGCGGUGCUCCUGGGACCAGUAGCCUCUAUCCAGGAAGUCUCCAGGGGAGAGAGAGAGGCCUGUGCCCAUUAUCAACUCUGCCGUCCAGUCUAGAAACUGUGGUUGGACAAGGUCAUCAUCUCCAUCCCCAGGGCCAUAUUUGUCACCCAACCACAGACAGAGCUGUCAUCACUUCACCAUCUGCUGAGCCUUCUUGUAAAGACACGGUAUCCGCAAGUGUCUACCCUCACAGUAGCUGCCUCUUUUCCCAUUGUUAUUCUCUGGGAGCCCACCCUCCAAACAGCGCAUGCCCAGCCUCCAAACAGCGCAUGCCCAGCCCAAUAAACACUGCAAAGCA
rnacentral:lncRNA from 1 species